GAUGAACGCUGGCGGCGUGCCUAAUACAUGCAAGUCGAGCGAACAGACGAGGAGCUUGCUCCUCUGACGUUAGCGGCGGACGGGUGAGUAACACGUGGAUAACCUACCUAUAAGACUGGGAUAACUUCGGGAAACCGGAGCUAAUACCGGAUAAUAUAUUGAACCGCAUGGUUCAAUAGUGAAAGACGGAUUUGCUGUCAUUUAUAGAUGGAUUCGCGCCGCAUUAGCUAGUUGGUAAGGUAACGGCUUACCAAGGGAACGAUCCUAAGCCGACCGGAGAGGGUGAUCGGCCACACUGGAACGGGAACACGGUCCAGACUCCUAGGGGAGGCAGAAGUAGGGAAUCUUCGGAAAUGGGCGAAAGCCUGACGGAGCAACGCCGCGGGAGUGAUGAAGGUCUUCGGAUCGUAAAACUCUGUUAUUAGGGAAGAACAAAUGUGUAAGUAACUGUGCACGUCUUGACGGUACCUAAUCAGAAAGCCACGGCUAACUACGUG
rnacentral:rRNA from 1 species